rnacentral:rRNA from 1 species
GAGUUUGAUCUUGGCUCAGGACGAACGCUGGCGGCGUGCUUAACACAUGCAAGUCGAGCGGAAAGGCCCCUUCGGGGGUACUCGAGCGGCGAACGGGUGAGUAACACGUGAGUAAUCUGCCCCUGGCUUUGGGAUAACCACCGGAAACGGUGGCUAAUACCGGAUAUGACCACUCCCGGCAUCGGGUGGUGGUGGAAAGUUUUUUCGGCCAGGGAUGUGCUCGCGGCCUAUCAGCUUGUUGGUGGGGUAAUGGCCUACCAAGGCUUCGACGGGUAGCCGGCCUGAGAGGGUGACCGGCCACACUGGGACUGAGACACGGCCCAGACUCCUACGGGAGGCAGCAGUGGGGAAUAUUGGACAAUGGGCGGAAGCCUGAUCCAGCAACGCCGCGUGAGGGAUGACGGCCUCGG